rnacentral:rRNA from 1 species
GUGUCAGCCGCCGCGGUAAUACGUAGGGUGCGAGCGUUAAUCGGAAUUACUGGGCGUAAAGCGUGCGCAGGCGGCUUUGUAAGACAGGUGUGAAAUCCCCGGGCUUAACCUGGGAAUGGCGCUUGUGACUGCAAGGCUUGAGUUCGGCAGAGGGGGGUGGAAUUCCACGUGUAGCAGUGAAAUGCGUAGAGAUGUGGAGGAACACCGAUGGCGAAGGCAGCCCCCUGGGUCGCGACUGACGCUCAUGCACGAAAGCGUGGGGAGCAAACAGGAUUAGAUACCCUGGUAGUCCACGCCCUAAACGAUGUCGACUAGGUGUUGGGGAAGGAGACUUCUUUAGUACCGUAGCUAACGCGUGAAGUCGACCGCCUGGGGAGUACGGUCGCAAGAUUAAA